rnacentral:rRNA from 1 species
AGAGUUUGAUCCUGGCUCAGGAUGAACGCUAGCGGCAGGCUUAACACAUGCAAGUCGAGGGGUAGUUGUCUUCGGAUAAUGAGACCGGCGCACGGGUGCGUAACGCGUAUACAAUUUACCUUUUACAGAGGGAUAGCCCAGAGAAAUUUGGAUUAAUACCUCAUAGUAUUUUUGAAUCGCAUGAUUUGAUUAUUAAAGUUCCAACGGUAAAAGAUGAGUAUGCGUCCCAUUAGCUAGAUGGUAAGGUAACGGCUUACCAUGGCAACGAUGGGUAGGGGUCCUGAGAGGGAGAUCCCCCACACUGGUACUGAGACACGGACCAGACUCCUACGGGAGGCAGCAGUGAGGAAUAUUGGACAAUGGGCGCAAGCCUGAUCCAGCCAUGCCGCGUGCAGGAAGAAGGUCCUAUGGAUUGUAAACUGCUUUUAUACAGGAAGAAACAUCUCUACGUGUAGAGACUGACGGUACUGUAGAAUA